UUCUAAUUCAUUUGACAGAGGAAUGAGCUGUUCCAGCUCCGUCCCUUCCUCUCGCCCUUUUCUCCUGAGCAAGCUACCUGCAGAAAGCUUGAUUUGAAGUAUGAUUCUUUGUGUUCUCAGUUUGUCAGCAAUAGCCAUCUCUGGGAGGCCCUGAGGAUGUUCAGCACCACCUGUCCAGUUCUGAGUUUCUCUUGCUGCCAUGAUGUAAGAAGUGCCUUUCACCUCUCACCAUGAUUCUGAGCCCUCCCCAGCCAUGUGGAACUGGCAAGGACCACCUGUCUUCACAGCUGUGCAACUGGUGCCAGUACAGUGCCUGGAACAGAGAAGUCCUCAACAUGCAGUUGUGAUAUCUAUGAAACAUGAAUGUCUUCAGCGCUCUUGAAUCUCAAGUGAAACUAGCUUUUUGUAAGUCUCUUGUAAACUGACCAGCAAGCUUUUUUUUGAUAAUAGAAAACUGUGGAAUAUUAACUUUAUUCUGAUUUCAAAGAAAAUGAAGUAUAGUUUCGGACAUUUAAAAGAAAAAAACCUCCUUCAGAAUUUAGAAAGGCAUUUCAUCAAGAAAAAUUCCACCAUUUUCCUAGAUUAGCUGAGUCUAGAACAUUAGGAAAAUUACCUACCUGUAUCAGGGAUGAAGCGGACCACCUCAUAAGUAACUAUGCAGGGAAAAUGUAAACACAGGUAGACCUUAUCAAACCAUCACAUUCAGAGAAUAAAUUCAAGUCUCUUCAAUGCAGUUGUGCAGCCUUGCAGUGUUUGGGGCUCCAUUACUGACCCUGGGAACACGGUUCUAAAGGA